GCGCCCAUAGCUCAGCUGGAUAGAGCUCCCGAUUUCUAAUCUGGAGGCCGCAGGUUCGAGUCCUGCUGGGCGCGCCA
rnacentral:tRNA from 2 species